rnacentral:rRNA from 1 species
UUAUUUAUUUUAUUAUAUUUAUUUUUUGUUUAUUUAAUUAUUUAAUAAAAAUAAUUUUAUUGAAUUUUGUCUUAGUAUAUUUUGUAGAAUUGAUUUUUUAAAUUAUAGUUUAUUGGUAAUGUAAUUGUUUUAUGAAAUAUUAUUUUAAAUUUUUAAAAGUAUAUUUUAUUUAUUGUACCUUUUGUAUCAGGGUUUAUCAAAAUUUUAGUAUUUAAUUUACUUGUCUCGAUUUGGGUUGAUUUAUAAAUAAUUUAUAGUUAAUGUAUCAUAAUUAUUAUUAAAUUAUUUAUGGAAAUGAAAUGUUAAUCGUUUCCCAAGAUAUCUAGUUUCUUAAGAAAAAUUUUAAUUUUUUAAAGUUAAUUGUUUUUAUUUAAUUUUUUAAUUAUAAAUAUUAACUUAUUUAUUCUUUAAGGGAUAAGCUUUGAAGUUAAUAACCUAUAAUUUGUUUUAUAAAAUAUAAUAGUAAGCUUUAAAUCAGCUAUCUUUAAGAUUACGUUUUAGUUCAUUAUUUUCUAUUUUGAUUUUAUAAUUAUUUUAGGUUUUUUAUUAAGAUUAUUUAUUUAAUUUUAAAAUUUUUGUAAUAAUGAUAGAAUUAGUAUAUUUACUUGUAUAUAAUUUUUACCUUGUGAAUUUAUAAUAAGGAAUUAGGCAAAAUUGAUUUCCSCCUGUUUAUCAAAAACAUGUCCUCUUGAAAAUACUUUGAGGUCUGGCCUGCUCACUGAGCGGAUUUUUAAAGAGCCGCGGUAUUUUGACCGUGCAAAGGUAGCAUAAUCAUUAGUCUCUUAAUUAGUGGCUGGAAUGAAUGGCUUGACGAGAAAUCAACUGUCUCUUAAUAAAUUUUUGAAUUUAAC